CCUACGGGGGGCAGCAGUGGGGAAUAUUGGACAAUGGGGGGAACCCUGAUCCAGCCAUGCCGCGUGUGUGAAGAAGGCCCUCGGGUUGUAAAGCACUUUCAGUGAGGAAGAACGCCUGGUGGUUAAUACCCAUCAGGAAAGACAUCACUCACAGAAGAAGCACCGGCUAACUCCGUGCCAGCAGCCGCGGUAAUACGGGGGUGCGAGCGUUAAUCGGAAUUACUGGGCGUAAAGCGCGCGUAGGUGGCUUGAUAAGCCGGUUGUGAAAGCCCCGGGCUCAACCUGGGAACGGCAUCCGGAACUGUCAAGCUAGAGUGCAGGAGAGGAAGGUAGAAUUCCCGGUGUAGCGGUGAAAUGCGUAGAGAUCGGGAGGAAUACCAGUGGCGAAGGCGGCCUUCUGGACUGACACUGACACUGAGGUGCGAAAGCGUGGGUAGCAAACAGGAUUAGAUACCCGAGUAGUU
rnacentral:rRNA from 1 species